CCGCAUGCGCGACCGAGCCCCGGGGGGCGGUGCUGCUUCAUCCGGGUACCCGGCGGCGGUUGGCUGUUUUGUUUUCUUGGCUGCAAACUGGGGGAAAGUGAGGCGGCCGCGCGCGGCGUGACACCUGGCUCGGGACUUACUGCACUGGCGGGGCUGGCCUGACUUGAAAAAAUGUCUGGAUUUCUAGAAGGCUUGAGAUGCUCAGAAUGCAUUGACUGGGGGGAAAAGCGCAAUACUAUUGCUUCCAUUGCUGCUGGUGUUCUAUUUUUUACAGGCUGGUGGAUUAUCAUAGAUGCAGCUGUCAUUUACCCCACCAUGGAAGAAUUCAACCACUCGUACCACGCCUGUGGUGUCAUAGCAACCAUAGCCUUCCUCAUGAUUAAUGCAGUAUCAAAUGGACAAGUCCGAGGUGAUAGUUACAGUGAAGGUUGCCUGGGUCAAACAGGUGCUCGCAUCUGGCUGUUCAUUGGUUUCAUGCUGGCCUUUGGAUCUCUGAUUGCAUCUAUGUGGAUUCUCUUUGGAGGUUAUGUUGCUAAAGAAAAAGCCAUCGUAUAUCCUGGAAUUGCUGUAUUUUUCCAAAAUGCCUUCAUCUUUUUUGGGGGACUGGUUUUUAAGUUUGGCCGCACUGAAGACUUAUGGCAGUGAAAACCUCCGAUUUACUUCUGCGCAGCAGCCCUGCAUGGGUUUUUUACUUCUCACUCCCAGUUUUUUGUAAUGCCAUUUUCUAAGCUCAUUUUUGAGUGUGGUCUCAGCUUCAAUUUGUGUAAUACUAAAACCAUGAGAACUUCCUGUGUAAGCAACACAAAUCGAUUGUGAUGGAGGAACCAGAUGGUGGAAACUUAAAUUUCUCAAGGCCGUACAUAGAACUAGUUUUGAAAUCUUGAGUCGGUGUACCUCCACAAUGGACCACAACAUCUUCCCCUGUGCUUGGGGAAUAAGAACUACUUUGUGAAACUGCUGGAAUAGAAACACAGUGUCCACAUUAUAGGACUAAAUAUAAGUGAAUUCUUAAUUUUUCCCUGUUUUAUAUCAUCUGCUCUGCUGAUAUAGACAAGAGUUCACUGGGUAGCACAACACACUUUGUUGAGCAUGAGAAAGAAUCUUAAGAAUUGUCAAUAAAAUUGAACCCAAUACUGGGACGCCUGGGUGCUUCAGUCA